CCCACCAGCAUGGACAGCGGCGGCGUGCGGCCAUCGCUUCCGUCCGCGACGGCGGCGGGAGGAACCUCCGUCCCGGACGAGCCUCGCGACGCGCGCGUGGUGCGGGAGCUCCUCCGGUCGAUGGGGCUCGGCGAGGGCGAGUACGAGCCGUGCGUCGUGCACCAGUUCCUGGACCUGGCCUACCGCUACGUCGGGGACGUGCUCGGCGACGCCCAGGUCUACGCCGACCACGCAGCCAAGCCCCAGCUCGACGCCGACGACGUCCGCCUCGCCAUCCAGGCCAAGGUCAACUUCUCCUUCUCCCAGCCGCCGCCCCGCGAGGUUCUACUUGAAUUGGCACGCAGCCGGAACAAGAUCCCGCUGCCCAAGUCUAUUGCUCCACCUGGCUCGAUUCCUCUGCCACCUGAGCAGGACACACUGUUGAGUGAAAACUACCAGCUCCUACCCACACUGAAGCCACCAACUCAGACUGAAGAAAUAGAAGAUGACAACGAGGGAACCGACACAAUCCCUGCCAAUCCUAGUUCAAACUAUUUGCAGGAUCAGAGGGGCAGCGAGCAACAUCAGCCUCAGAGCCAGAGCCAGAGGGUUUCUUUCCAACUGAACGCGGUGGCUGCCGCGGCUGCAAAGCGUCCUCUAGUGACAAUUGAUCAGUUGAACAUGGGCUAACUUGCUUGUGUAGCUGGCUGGGACUGCCCUUUCUGGCUAGCGCCCUCCUAUUUCACCAUGAAAAAAUGCUGAUUGUUGAGGAAAGGGAGCAGCCUUGCAAGUAGUGGGGAGUAGGAUGGACUGGCACCCUCUGUGCGUGGAGCAUGGAUCAGUUACUGAGAAAUCAGAUGAAAAACAAACAGCCCGUCUAGCUCAGUUGGUAGAGCGCAAGGCUCUUAACCUUGUGGUCGUGGGUUCGAGCCCCACGGUGGGCGACCACCUUUUUUCUUGUUUUUUUUUGUACUCUCCAGGAAUCAAUUUGUUGCAUGUAGUGCAUGAAUCUGAUGGGUGG